UACUUCAAUAACCAGCGUGUAUCACAACCUGUUAACAACUACAUGGUGGCAGCGGUGGUGCCUGGUUGAAUAGUGUCCGAUCAAAGUCGUGUCCAGGCUUGUUCAAUAAUGACGGAAUCGGGGGAACGCAAAGCCGAGAUGGCAAUAGGCAGUUCAAGCAACGGUGUGUGGAUAUCGCCUGUCCCGAAGAGGUCUGAGGGCAAGUUGGUGGAUUACGCGAAGUACUUUGAUCGCGUGUCAAAGGCUAAUGGUUGGACGGAUCAGGAAGCAGGGAGAAUAUUUCCGGGACUUCGAGAGCUGAGCAACGUCCUUUCCAGAUCACCUUCCGGUCUGACAAUUUUGAACACGUGGACGAGACAAAAACGAAAGUUAACCAAGGAUUUCGCCUAGCUUUUUCCCAACAAAGUUGCUGAGCGAAAAACUGGCCUGAAUUUGAUGAAUGUCUGAGGAAUGAUUAACCAAUGUUAACUUCACCAAAUAAUUGUUUCAUCUGAAUUUUACUUUGUUGACGAUGUAAACAUAUUUUUUAACUUAUUUCAUAUCCUAAUAAGCAUCAUUGAUAACGAAUAAAACCAAAUUUAGUUUCUUGAGUGCA